rnacentral:rRNA from 1 species
CCUACGGGAGGCAGCAGUGGGGAAUAUUGGGCAAUGGGCGCAAGCCUGACCCAGCAACGCCGCGUGAAGGAAGAAGGCUUUCGGGUUGUAAACUUCUUUUGUCAGGGAAGAGUAGAAGACGGUACCUGACGAAUAAGCCAUGGCUAACUACGUGCCAGCAGCCGCGGUAAUACGUAGGUGGCAAGCGUUGUCCGGAUGUACUGGGUGUAAAGGGCGUGUAGUCGGGUUGACAAGUCAGUUGUGAAAUCCUGCGGCUUAACCGCGGAACUGCAUUUGAAACUGUUGGCCUUGAGUACUGGAGGGGCAGACGGAAUUCCUGGUGUAGCGGUGAAAUGCGUAGAUAUUAGGAGGAACACCGGUGGCGAAGGCAAUCUGCUGGACAGCAACUGACGGUGAGGCGCGAAAGCGUGGGGAGCAAACAGGAUUAGAUACCCGGGUAGUC